rnacentral:rRNA from 1 species
UGUGGCGGGAGGAUUCAGUUGGGGGGCUCGGACGUGGCGCUGGAAUACCACAAGAAGGUUCCCAGAGGGGGCCGUUCCGGUGUCGCGCUUUCGGGUCAACCGACGCAUUUGUUUCCCGCCCGAAGGACGCCGCAACCGGUUGGGACGUGGCCUUAAGGAUGGGAGAUGGCAGGUGGCCGGUGGCGCUCCUAGUGGGUGUCGCCGGUUGUUAGCCGUCCCGUCGCACGGCACGCGACCCGACCGUGGUAUCACGAGGCCCUUAUGGGCUUCACCGCCUCCUCCACCGAGAGCGGGUAGAAACGUGACAGGAGUACGACCCUCUGCGGGCGCACGGACUGACUCCGUGGCCCAGCGUUGGGUUGUCUUCGUUGGUUGCGUAGGACCCGUAGGAGUGCUGGCGGUUCGCGGCGAGUAGAUCGGUCACCCACCCGACCCGUCUUGAAACACGGACCAAGGAGUCU